GACGAACCGUCCAACCGUUAUUCGGAAUCACUGGGCUUACAGAGUUCGUAGGCGGUCUGGAAAGUUGGGUGUGAAAUCCCUCGGCUCAACCGAGGAACUGCGCUUGAAACUACCAGACUCGAGGGAGAUAGAGGAAAGCGGAACUGAUGGUGGAGCGGUGAAAUGCGUUGAUAUCAUCAGGAACACCGGUGGCGAAGGCGGCUUUCUGGGUCUUACCCGACGCUGAGGAACGAAAGCCAGGGGAGCGAACGGG
rnacentral:rRNA from 1 species